rnacentral:rRNA from 1 species
GACGAACGCUGGCGGCGUGCUUAACACAUGCAAGUGGAGCGACGAACCAGGGGCUUGCCCCUGGGGCAGAGCCGCGAACGGGUGAGUAACACGUGGGUGACCUGCCUCGAUGACCGGGACAACCCGAGGAAACUCGGGCUAAUACCGGAUGUGCUCCCAGCCAUAGCGGGCUGGGUGGAAAGGUAGCUUCGGCUUCCGCGUCGAGAUGGGCCCGCGGCGCAUUAGCUUGUUGGUGAGGUAACGGCUCACCAAGGCUUCGAUGCGUAGCUGGUCUGAGAGGACGAUCAGCCACACUGGGACUGAGACACGGCCCAGACUCCUACGGGAGGCAGCAGUGGGGAAUCUUGCGCAAUGCGCGAAAGCGUGACGCAGCAACGCCGCGUGGGGGAAGAAGGCCUUCGGGUUGUAAACCUCUUUCAGUUGGGACGAAGGUCGGGCGGUGAAUAGCCGUUCCGACUGACGGUACCUUCACAAGAAGCCCCGGCUAACUACGUGCCAGCCGCCGCAGUAAUAC